rnacentral:lncRNA from 1 species
AUGAAGAUGACAUCAUCAAAAUACAUUUACUAUAUUUUGAAUAAUUUGCAAUGAAUUAUCAGAUCCACUAUAUUGCAAAUGCAUUUCAACAGUAAGUAUUUAAUUCACAUCACAUCACAUUAUAUAAAUAAAUUGUGAGCCAAAUCACAUUAUGAAACGAAAGACAAAUCAUAUUAUAUAUUCAAUCUCUUAGGCAAAUCAUCCUCUAAAUAGAAAUGACAAUAAAAAAUAACACCAAAUCAAGUUUGACACGACAAUACACAAGACAAUGGAAUCUUGCUGAGUUGUUUGAGCCCUCAAGAGAAAACCAAUCAGGUUAACGGUAUCAUGUGUUGCUUCUUCUCCCAGGCUUCAUUCUUCUUUUGUUGGAUCUUCUUCACAGCUUCCAAUUCUUCUUGAUGCUUCCUUUGCAUCUCUUCAAGUGCUCUAUCUUGUGCUUCAAAUCUCACAGCUAACUCCCCCCAAUGCCUAUAAACUGAGGAAACAUAACAGCGUGUUGCAUCUUAAUGAGAUGAAAACAUACAAGAUAAAAACGUAUAACAGUACCACUAAGAAGCACAUAAUUUAUCAAAUUAUGAAUCUGAGUACGUUAUUAACUAGAUUUUCGGGUAUGCAGAUGGGCCAAUAAAACGGUAUAUUAGUUUGGCAAAACAAGAAGACACAAACUUGUAUAAAAAUUGUCAGUCAAAAAAAUUUACAUCGAUCCCUGCUGCACUUUUAACUAGUGUGCUACUUAAAGUUCUAAGUAGCAUGUGAAUGACUAGUGAGUCUAGUAGGGCAGCAUAUGACAAUGAACUAUAGUAAUCUACUGAACAUAUUUCAUAAUUAGUUGCAUAAGUAUAGUUGUUUGACGCUUUGGUUACUACAAAAGUUUAGAUCAGCACAUCACUACAAAAACAGAUUGAUAAUGUACUAAAAAAUUGCAGAUCAAAACACAAAAAUGUUUCUUUAGUGAGAAGUGACAGCCAUUCAUCCAUUCAAUGUACUGAACAAUCUCAGAAUAAUGCAAUAUCUGGAGGUCAUCACCCAACCACUACAUGCCACAUUAUUCCUAUUAACUGUAUGUUUUCUCAUCUCUGAAUUGAUUCAGACAUGCUAUGAAUUUGGCCGUUCAUCACCUUAUGUACAACUACGUGCCAUAAGAAACUAGUACUAGUACUAUCUACACUAUUUUAAUCAGUUGUGUGCUUACUCACCUUCCCCAACAGCUACAGCUAAUUGUGUACGUGCACUGGAGUCGUACGAUGCUUACUCAAUAUAAAUAUAACAAAUAAAAAUACAAGUUAAGCAUAAGGAAGGACACGAUGAGCUUAAAUGCUAGGCAUACACAACCAGGUAAGGAAUUAUCAAGUACUUGACUGUAAGAAAACAGAAAGUGGAGAGUUAGUAAAAAGUUUAAGCUUCAGACUUUACCAACAUAGCAAGGUCGAUAAGAUUAUCUUGAUAUUGCAAACCCAGUCCUGCUACCUAUGGUGAGCAGUCGAUUAAUGCGCCUGCGUUAUAGGGGAAUAAAACAGAAGAGACAUAGUAUACUGACAAGUGUUCACAUGGAGAAAAAAUAUUACAGAAUAACAUAAUCAUUUUCUGUUCCACCAAGCAGUAUUAGCAUCUGAAUGAACCUUUUAGUAUAUAGAUUUUUCAGCAGCUAGUAACUAUGGUAUGGCCCAUGAUACAAGCCCUCGGCUAUUCCUAGUAUAGUUGCAUUGUUAAUACUCUGAACGUAGAGUCUAGUCACAUAUUAGAUGUUCUUGAGCAUGCUGGAGAUUGCAUAAUAUUGCAGCUUAAAGGGGAAACUUGAGUUGAAAUUAUUCAUUGUAGAAAUUUAGAGACAGCUCGGAACAAAGAAGUAUGAACCAUACCUUUGAUAAGACCAAAGGACAUUGAUCUUACUCCUGAUCUAGAUGAACUGCAACUAGGAAAAGGAGAUCUCAAAUAAGUGGUUAGAAGAGUCAAAUUCCAGAUCACAAAUCUUACAUCAGGAAAUUAUGGAAGAAAAAGGAACCAGCGAAAUAUUACCCUCGAGUAUUUGAAAGGGGGCAGAUCUAAUGGUGCUGUAGCCGGGUUCCUUGCAGAGUUUCCAACCCAUCCCCCUAGCCUAUCUGCAUCAUCGGGUUACCUCUCCCAAACCUGGUGUCUCCCGCCGCCGCCGUCUUGUUGGUCGCUGGACGAAACCAAUCUUCUAAAUCACCAUCUACAUCUCAAGUAGUGGGCGAUGGAGGGGUGGUGAGGCAGCGUCCAGAUCUUGGUGAGGCACGCGGUGAGAAACGAAGACGGGGAAGGCGCCAGAGAUGGAUGGGGCGAUGGUUGACAAGCCAUCCAUGAAGUGGCGGUGGAGGUAGCAUGGAGGUCGGACCAGGCAGCAAACAGGGCACGUCGGCAUCGGGGCGCAGCUGGCGGCGAGUGAUUUGGAGGCGCCGCCGGUGAGAUGAGAUUUGAGUCAGGUGCGAGUUGGUACAGGUGUAUCUGUUGGGGAUUUUUUUGGGCUAGGAUUUUAUUUGGAGGCACAGAGCGUGGCGUGAGACCUAGCGCCAAAUUGGAUCACCACUUGGAGCUGAAUUCUGUUUCUUUUCUUUUCUUUUUUUGCUCCGUGGUUCUAAAUUCUUGGUGUGGCAUCGUUUUAAAUGGUGGGUGAUAAGGAUUAAAAAAAUCCCAUCAACUCUCAUAUUUCCAUUUUAACUUUUGAGAGCUAAAUGUAACAAUAUUAGCUCACGAGUGCGCCAUUGAUGUUUUUUUGCAUACACACUAACUAUUUAUUAUAUUAUAGAUGUGAAAAUAAUGUCCUCUUGGCUCCCUUAUUUUCAUUUUUAUUUUUGAGAUAAACACAUGAGCUCACGGAUUCGCUCGAUUCAAGUUUUUUGCCCAACCACUACCUAUUUAUAUUAGAAAGAACAAAAUAAAUUUUACCUUUAUAAAAAAGAACUAAUAUAAGUAUUUCCAUGCCCACUACCUAUUUAUAUUAUAUCGAGAAAAAUAAUUACAACCCUCAGCAGCCUUUGAAAAAACUAUGGCAGGUCCCAGUGCCAACACUGACGCAUGGGUCCAAUCGCUCAAUUACCCAAGAACUAGCUUUGCCGAGUCUGAAUACUAUACCUAACAUGAAAAAAAUGAUCUUCUCACAUUCAUAGUACUCGGUGACUCUAGUGGGCUCGUCAUGAAAAUUACCAAAACGUCACCAAAACUGGGAGCCAGGUGUGCUGAAAGGUCGAGGCAAUUCGGUGACGUUUAUCGUCACCGAUUUGCGAUAAUUGGUGACGUCACCUACAACAACAUCAUGCAUUAGGAAUUUAUGUGACGUUCUCCACCAUUGUCAUGAGGAUUUUUGUCACAGUAUGUCAAUUUUGUUGUAGUGUCCCACAAAUCACACAGUGUCCAAGGGGGCAGUCUUUUGUCAGGUGAUUUGAGUCUUUGCAUUUAUUAUGGAGCACCCUGUUCACUCCUCCGAUCCCUGGUCUCCCCCCCCCUAAUUGUGUAUUUCUGUUGGUAUACUGGUUUCUAUCAUUAACACCAAACCCUCUCUAUCCUUGAGCUCCUCCUCCAUUAUUCACCAUCUAGAUCUCUCUCCCCUGUUUCCCAUGAUUUCUGGGCACUACUAGGAAAAGGGCUAUAGAUGGAAAUGACACUAAUGGCGCACCACACAAGUGGUGCGCCAUUAGUAUAUACUAAUGGCGCACCACCCUCUGAUGCGCCAUUAGUGUUGAAACUACUAAUGGCGCACCCUGACCACGGUGCGCCAUUAGUACCAAAUUUUUUUUUGAACUAGUGCGCCUGUCCAAACAUACUAAUGGCGCAUCCCCUGGUGGUGCGCCAUUACUAGUUGUAACUAGUAAUGGCGCACCAUCCAGGAGGUGCGCCACUAAUGUUAUUUUUUUUAUUAUUGCUUUUAUUCCUUUUUUUGCAAAAGUUCUAAUGGCGCACCGCCAGGGGGUGCGCCAUUAGUAACCUGGAUUACUAAUGGCGCAUUUGUUGCUGGUGCGCCAUUAGUAAGUGGGCAGCAACAAGAUAUUUUGGACAGCCUCUCCUCCCACACUCACUUUCUCCCCACUUCAUUCUCUCCACCGCCUCCUCCUUGUCUCGGGUGCCUCCUCUUUUUCACCUCAUUUCCACCAUAGAUUCAUUCAAAUUAAGUGGUUAAGUUACCUUGUUUUGCUAGGUAAGUAAGGGGGGAAGCUAUAUUUAUGUUGUUCUCCCUACAAACAAUGUGCACAUGCACUUUCUAUGGCCUAGCUAGAUCUAUGUAUGUUCGUGGUGUUGCAUAUGUUUGUGGUGUUGCAUAUGUGUUUGUGUUUGGAGGUGUACCGGUAUUUGAAAUGCGAUAGUUGCCAAUAUUUUGCCGGAAUGUUGAUUCAUUUCCGUUUCGGCGAGAAUUUUGGCAUUAAGCAUUCUUUUUGGUCCUAUUUUUAGGGAAAGUCAUGCCAAAUUUUUUCUUGGUUCUAAAAUAUCGUUUUGCUCUACCCCGCAGGCGACCAUGGUUCGCACGAUGACCGAAGGCAUCGUGAAUAGGUUUUUGAGGUCCGCGAAGGCCGAGAUGCUUCAAAAGAACGAGACGGAGAUAAGAUGUCCGUGUUGAAGAUGCAAGCUGAAUAGCCUUAUUGCGGACCCGGAUUCCGGGCAGGUGCGGGACCACCUGCUCUUGCGUGGUUUCAUGGAUGGCUAUCGGUGGCAAGGUGAUGAUGAUGACUACGAAGUCGUUCAUGGGGGCCGGGCAAGAAAUGAGGAAGGGCAGCAAGACAACCACCGCGGCUCGGGGGGGCGAGAAGACGAAGAAUCCCCAGGAGAUGAUCACGACGGUGAUGCUGUACACAGUCAUCAUGUAGAAGAUGCAGGACAUGAUGAUGAUGUCGGCAGAGCAAACGACGUUGGACCAUCGAUGGGCUGGGUGCAGGACCCUCAUAUUCAAGAGCUGCUUCUCAAGCAGACGGAUAACGCAAGAGCUGCCGCCCGAGAGAAAGCCAAGAUGGAUCAACUUGAGUUAGACGCGGUUACUCCGUUGUAUGAAGGAUGCAGGCCCGAGGAUACCCGCCUGAAAGUAACGCUCAUGGCUCUGGAGAUGAAGGUAAAACACAAAAUGACCGACGCAUGCUUCGACGAGAACAUGUCAUUUUGGCACGAACGUCUUCCCAAGGGGAACAAGUGCCCGACCAGUUUGGAGGAGGCAAAGAAAAUCGUGUGUCCUCUGGAUUUACCGCACGUGAAAUACCAUGUGUGCAUGAACAAUUGCAUCAUUUAUCGGGACGAGCACACGGAGUCUACAAUAUGUCCGGUGUGCGGUGUCACUCGAUACAAGAAGAGGAAGAAAGCUCCUCGAAAAGUGGUGUGGUACUUUCCGAUCACUCCUCGUCUGCAGCGGUAUUUCGCGGAUCCUAAGGUAGCAAAGCUCCUGCGUUGGCACGCGGAUAGGGAGGAGAAGAAGCGAGAAGAUGACGCAAAUGAUCCGGAGAUAGAUAAAAAAGACAAGAUGUUGAGUCACCCUAAGGAUGCGAGCCAGUGGCAAGCAUUGAACUUCGAAUACCCAGAAUUUGGGAACGAUCCAAGGAACAUCGUGCUGGGCGCGAGCACCGAUGGAGUCAAUCCGUUUGGCAGCCAGAGAAGCACACAUAGCACCUGGCCUGUGUUUGUGUGUAUGUACAACCUUCCCCCCUGGUUGUGCAUGAAGAGGAAGUACAUUCACAUGAGUAUGCUAAUUGAAGGGCCGAAACAACCAGGGAACGACAUCAAUCUGUAUCUGGGGCUGCUGAAAGAGGAGCUUGACACGCUGUGGAAAAUGCCAGCCAAUACGUGGGACGCCGCAGAGAAAGAAUAUUUCCCUAUGAGAGCCGCACUGCUCACGACGGUGCACGACUAUCUCGGUUACGGAUAUCUUGCGGGGCAGGUAGUCCACGGAUUUUCUGGAUGCGUAAGGUGCAUGGAUGACACAAUGUAUCGCCAGCUAGAUAGAGAUCCCGGGUCUUCGAAAACCGUGUUCAUGGGACAUCGAAGGUGGCUUCGCGACGAUGACCCGUGGAGGAAACGCAAGGAUCUGUUCGAUGGUGAAACCGAACCCCGAAAACGCCCGUGUACGAGGAGCGGCGAGGAAAUAGACAAGCUGUUGAAAAAUUGGAAAGACUGCCCACUGCCGGGAAAGAAGCAAAAGGCGCCAGAGCCGCUGCUGAAGGUAUGGAAAACGAGGUCUGUUUUCUGGGACUUGCCGUACUGGAAGAUCCAUCGUGUGCCUCACAGCCUUGAUGUCAUGCAUAUCACGAAGAACGUGUGCGAGAGUCUGCUUGGUACCCUGCUCAACAUGCCAGAGAGGACCAAAGAUGGGCCGAAAGCAAGGGCAGACUUGAAAUCAAUGGGCAUCAGGCAGGAGCUUCACGCUAUAUAUGAUGAUGAUGAUGAUGAUGAUGAUGAUGAUGAUGAGGCGAAGCAGGACACAGAAAGUCGUCGCAAAGGCAAAAAGGCCAAGAAGACCGGAAAUGACUACCCUCCCGCGUGCUUCACUCUAAGUCAGGAGGAGAUCGAGCAGUUUUUCACCUGCCUCCUAGGAGUAAAACUUCCUUACGGUUACGCGGGGAAGAUAAGCAGAUACCUAGACCCAGCGAAGCAGAAGUUCAGCGGGAUGAAGUCUCACGACUGUCACGUGCUGAUGAUGCAGAUACUUCUAGUUGCAAUCCGUGGGAUCAUGGACGCGCACGUCCGUGAAAUGCUAUUUGGCCUAUGCAACUUCUUCGACGUCAUCUCUCGGAAGUCGAUUGGCGUGAGGCAACUCAGAAGGCUACAGGAAGAGAUCGUGGUGAUACUAUGCGAGCUUGAGAUGUACUUCCCGCCCGCAUUCUUCGACGUUAUGGUGCAUCUGCUGGUCCAUAUAGUGGAGGAUAUCAUCCAACUCGGGCCGACGUUCCUGCACAGCAUGAUGCCGUUCGAAAGGAUGAAUGGUGUCAUCAAAGGAUACGUUCGCAACAUGUCACGUCCAGAAGGAAGCAUAGCCAGGGGCUUUCUGACCGAAGAGUGCAUCUCCUACUGCACGAAUUAUCUAGGCAUCGAGAACCCCGUUGGUCUGCCCGUCAACAGGCACCUCGGCAGGCUCGCUGGAUGGGGUCACCGUGAGGGUCGCCNNNNNNNNNNNNNNNNNNNNNNNNNNNNNNNNNNNNNNNNNNNNNNNNNNNNNNNNNNNNNNNNNNNNNNNNNNNNNNNNNNNNNNNNNNNNNNNNNNNNNNNNNNNNNNNNNNNNNNNNNNNNNNNNNNNNNNNNNNNNNNNNNNNNNNNNNNNNNNNNNNNNNNNNNNNNNNNNNNNNNNNNNNNNNNNNNNNNNNNNNNNNNNNNNNNNNNNNNNNNNNNNNNNNNNNNNNNNNNNNNNNNNNNNNNNNNNNNNNNNNNNNNNNNNNNNNNNNNNNNNNNNNNNNNNNNNNNNNNNNNNNNNNNNNNNNNNNNNNNNNNNNNNNNNNNNNNNNNNNNNNNNNNNNNNNNNNNNNNNNNNNNNNNNNNNNNNNNNNNNNNNNNNNNNNNNNNNNNNNNNNNNNNNNNNNNNNNNNNNNNNNNNNNNNNNNNNNNNNNNNNNNNNNNNNNNNNNNNNNNNNNNNNNNNNNNNNNNNNNNNNNNNNNNNNNNNNNNNNNNNNNNNNNNNNNNNNNNNNNNNNNNNNNNNNNNNNNNNNNNNNNNNNNNNNNNNNNNNNNNNNNNNNNNNNNNNNNNNNNNNNNNNNNNNNNNNNNNNNNNNNNNNNNNNNNNNNNNNNNNNNNNNNNNNNNNNNNNNNNNNNNNNNNNNNNNNNNNNNNNNNNNNNNNNNNNNNNNNNNNNNNNNNNNNNNNNNNNNNNNNNNNNNNNNNNNNNNNNNNNNNNNNNNNNNNNNNNNNNNNNNNNNNNNNNNNNNNNNNNNNNNNNNNNNNNNNNNNNNNNNNNNNNNNNNNNNNNNNNNNNNNNNNNNNNNNNNNNNNNNNNNNNNNNNNNNNNNNNNNNNNNNNNNNNNNNNNNNNNNNNNNNNNNNNNNNNNNNNNNNNNNNNNNNNNNNNNNNNNNNNNNNNNNNNNNNNNNNNNNNNNNNNNNNNNNNNNNNNNNNNNNNNNNNNNNNNNNNNNNNNNNNNNNNNNNNNNNNNNNNNNNNNNNNNNNNNNNNNNNNNNNNNNNNNNNNNNNNNNNNNNNNNNNNNNNNNNNNNNNNNNNNNNNNNNNNNNNNNNNNNNNNNNNNNNNNNNNNNNNNNNNNNNNNNNNNNNNNNNNNNNNNNNNNNNNNNNNNNNNNNNNNNNNNNNNNNNNNNNNNNNNNNNNNNNNNNNNNNNNNNNNNNNNNNNNNNNNNNNNNNNNNNNNNNNNNNNNNNNNNNNNNNNNNNNNNNNNNNNNNNNNNNNNNNNNNNNNNNNNNNNNNNNNNNNNNNNNNNNNNNNNNNNNNNNNNNNNNNNNNNNNNNNNNNNNNNNNNNNNNNNNNNNNNNNNNNNNNNNNNNNNNNNNNNNNNNNNNNNNNNNNNNNNNNNNNNNNNNNNNNNNNNNNNNNNNNNNNNNNNNNNNNNNNNNNNNNNNNNNNNNNNNNNNNNNNNNNNNNNNNNNNNNNNNNNNNNNNNNNNNNNNNNNNNNNNNNNNNNNNNNNNNNNNNNNNNNNNNNNNNNNNNNNNNNNNNNNNNNNNNNNNNNNNNNNNNNNNNNNNNNNNNNNNNNNNNNNNNNNNNNNNNNNNNNNNNNNNNNNNNNNNNNNNNNNNNNNNNNNNNNNNNNNNNNNNNNNNNNNNNNNNNNNNNNNNNNNNNNNNNNNNNNNNNNNNNNNNNNNNNNNNNNNNNNNNNNNNNNNNNNNNNNNNNNNNNNNNNNNNNNNNNNNNNNNNNNNNNNNNNNNNNNNNNNNNNNNNNNNNNNNNNNNNNNNGACGCCGCCUCGACCCCGCCCCGACGCCGCUGCCCCACCUCGACCCCGCCCCGUCCACACCACCGUCGACCCGCCUCCCUAUACGCCACGGCGCCGCAGGACCUAGACUAGACGCCCAAGGUACGACCACCUCCUCCUUACUUCUCCAUUCCGCAAGUCCAUAGCCUCCUCUCACGUGCUUGCUUCCUUCUCCAUUCCACUGAUUCUGGUCAGUGUGUGUAUGCUUAUUGAUGGCAAAUAACAAAGUUGAAUCAUAUUAGUUUUAGAUUCGUUGAAAUAUUAAGUCCUUAGUUGAAAGGUUGCAAUGAGUAGUUUGCAUUGUCCAUUUGUGCCAUUUUCUGCUUCUAAUUUUGUUGGUUCUUCUAGCAAGCAUAUUCCAUUGCUCCUGAUUGAAUUCCCUUACCAUUUUGUCUAUCUGUGGUUCUUUACUUCGGUGAUGUAAUCAUUUUAAAGUUUGACCUAGAUACUAUAAUUAAUAAACAGUUGUGAAUAGUAUAUAUCGAGAGGACUCCACUAUGCAACCUUUGACAUGCUCAUCACAUACUGUUAUUUAUAGUGAACCUUCUUUACUUGUAUUUACAGGGAAACAAUUGGUGCAAUUCUUGCCCGGGGCCACAGCCGUGUACCUGUGUAUUCAGGAAACCCUAGAAAUGUUAUAGGUCUCCUGUUGGUAGGUAAAAAUUAUGCCAUGGAGAAUUACUCGAUGAUCUUUCUUUAUGUACUUUACUAACUUAGAACCAUUUAAAUAUUAUUUAGGUCAAAAGUCUUCUGACAGUUCGUGCUGAAAUAGAGAUGCCAGUUAGUGCUGUUUCCAUUAGGAGGAUUCCAAGGUAUAUACCCCAAUUCUAUUUAAAUAUAAAUUGGAAAAAUCUCUUUCAAAAUUUGGUACAAUUGCUUGAAUUUUUGGAGUACACGAAUUAUGGGCUAGUGAUGAUCAUAUGCACUAGUUACUAGUAGAUGCUUCUCGACCCAAUUUGAGCAGCAGAGCACUAGCACCAAGCUCUGGGUUUUGUUCGGUACACUCUGAGAUGUAGAUGCCUGAAAGAUAAACAUGUUGUUUGUCUACAAAAAAAACUUAAUUACUAUUAUGGGCUAGUGAUGAUCAUAUGCACUAGUUACUAGUAGAUGCUUUUUUAUCCUCAGAUUGGCGUCUAGUGUUCAUAGAAAUAUAUGAUUAUCUUUGUUGUAUAAACUGACUGGCUGCCAAGUUACAACUUACUGGUGAAAGUUCAUUUUUUUUAUCAGUGGCAUACGAGUGGCAGAAAAGUGGCUAGCCUCGUCUGCAUAUAUGAGCAUAUAGAUCAACAAAAAAUAAACCCAUUCGGCAAGAACAUUUAUGCACCUAUUUACUAGAAGAAUGAAUAAAUGAAUGUCAGGGCUAGAGAUCAUUACUGUUUGUUAUCCAGGAAAUACAAAAGUUUGGAUUGUUGAAUGCAUUCUGAAUUCUAGCUAUACAAAAGUUUUUUCCUUCUGAAAUGUGUUUUUCUUCUUCUUCCUGUUUUGAGUAGUUUGCGUAAGUUUUCUGAAAUGAUGAUGUAUUUUUCUUAAUUCAGCGAACCGUGAGAUGGACUUAGAAGAAGAAACUGUCUCCUGAUUGCAGUUGAUUAAUUAGUAUAUAUGUUGUAGACUUGUAGCAUACCUACCUCUAUAUGGUUUUAUAUUUCAACUUGAUUUCUGAAUAUUCCAAACCACACGCGAAGUCCUUUCUUACAAAAAGAAGUUUCUCUUCAUAACAGUGAACAAAACUACUGUCAAUCAGCUCAGUUCUAGUGCUGUUGGAUUUUUUUUAAUUGGCUUCUUGCAGUUUUGAAAAUUCAGUUUAUUCGGUUACUGAAAAUUCAGUUAAUUCAGUUAGGCACACAAAUUUCAGAACUUUUGUGUGCCCUAGUACUUGGUGUUUGUAGAAAACCAGGAGUGUCAAUGGGACUAGAAUUCACUUGUUCUUAUAUGGGUUUGUAAAACUUGUUCAUGUACUGAACUACUAAUGCCUUGUGAUGCUCUGAAUUACUUGUGAUGCCUCUGAAUUACUUGUGAUCACAUUGAGAAAGACUUGUAAAGAUGAUGAUCAUCUUUAACAGAAAACAAUUUGUGAUGAUUUUGCUAGUUUGCUGGGUUUUGUCUCCGACCAUCGUGUCGUGAUGAUUUUGCAGGUACCCCGAGAGGCCCUUGAGUUUGCCGGAAUGUCGAUUAACUUCCGUUCCGGCAAAUUUGGGUACUCCAUAUGUCCUAUUUUCAGCAAAGGUCAUGCUGAAAUUUUCCGUGAAUUUUAGCAUGACUUUGCUAAAAAUAGGACAUAUGGGGUACUUGUGACUAAUGCAUAGGCCGGGGUAUCUUAGUAGUUAAUUAAGUAGGAUCAAGUGCCCCGGCAUACUUGUGACUAAUGCAUGGCUUUUAGGGUGCCUCGGUGUCGAUAAAAACCAAAAUGAUGAAAAGUUAGGCUUUUAGGGUGCCUUGGCGUCGAAAAACCCUCAAUGAUAAAAGCUUACAUUUUAGGAUGCCUCGGUGUCGACAAACCCUAAAUGAUGAGACCAUGAUCUUGUUCCUUGACAAUAACCAACUUUUUGACCAAACUUUGUUUCUAUUUAGAGAUAAACAUGGCCCACAACGAUGAGGCCGGGGGUUCGGGCGGCAAGGCAUUCUGGGAGCUGUCCCAGGAGAUGGAGGAACAACCUCACUUGUAUGAGGCCGCCGCCUUCCCCACCGAUCCUGAGACCACGGAUGGUGCCGCCGAGGAUGACCACACUGAUGCCACCACUGAUGGUGCCGCCGAGGAUGCCACCACUGAUGAUGGCGGCGCACGCACAGAUAGCAGCCAGCCGAAGAGGCAACGGAAGGACCGGCGCCCGAUCGUGCUCCGCACCCUCAAGGAGGAAGUUACUGAAGUGGACUCCAACGGGAAUCCAACGGCGCCCGAACGAAUAGUCAAGGGGUACUCGCUUCAGCUCGGGUGCAUUGUCCGGAGCACCGUCUCGAUCAACACCGAGAACCUGAGGCAUCCUGACCGAGGGAAUUUGCGCCACCUCCUCUUCACGAAGCUGCACGAACGAUACAAGUUCCCCGCUGAAUUCGAAAACACAAGCCUCAAUGGGAAUAAAGUGAACAAUGCUGCCCUCACGAAGAUGAGCAAGGCCCUGUCUACUUGGAAAAGCAAUGUGAAGAGAAUGAUUGAGAAAGGUGAGAGUUAUGAGAAGAUCAAGGAGAAAAAUCCUUCGAUCACCGAAGAUGACUACAACGACUUCAAGAUCAAUUGCUCGAGCACCGCAAGCUCCCAAUCAAGUGAGUGGGGGAAACAAAUGCGGGAGCUGAACAUAGGGGAACACACACUCGGUCCCGGCGGUUACAGAGUGGCGGAGCCUAUAUGGGACAAGGAGGAGGCGGACCGUGCCGAGCAAGGCCUACCGCCCCUCUUCGAUAAAUACGGUGACAAGCAGACCAGGAACUUUGUCAGGGCCCGGUACAAGAAGGACCCGAAAACAAAGGAGCUUACCACGGAUCCGAAGACCAGGCGGCUUGAGCUUGUUCUGGUAAGGAAUACACCCCCGCGUAAUUAGCUCCAUAUGGUUGCAUUCUAAUUAAUGAAGCCGAAUUUCUAAAUGGUUCACAUUCCUUCCGCAUGCGGCUGAAAGCAGUAGCGCGGGGUCGACUAAGAGCAACCCUUGGGACACCACUCUAAAUAGGGGGUUGAAUAUAAUGAAGAACAAGGAUAAGCUCAGUAAGCCGACGUCAGCUGGUCGUGUGGCCGGCAAAGGCUUGUCGACAAAAUGGGGGUCAUACUAUACCGCUGGUGUGCGGAAGGAGAAAAAGACCAGCUCGGAAAGCCAGGCGCGAGAGGUUCAAGAACUCAAGGCACAGGUGGCGCGGAUUCCGGAGAUUGUCCAAGAGCAAGUGGAACAACGACUCGGAGCGACGAUCACCGCCCUUGUGCCUACCUUGAUCUCGGGGUUGAGUGCGUGGAUUGCGGGCGGCCCCCGAUUCCUACCUUCACGGCCAGCAACUCGCAUAAUGCGAUGGCGGGGCCAUUGGUGUCUCCGACGCCGGCACGGGAGCUUAAUGCACCCGGGUGUACGCCGGCCGGCACCUCUUCAGCAAGCGGCCGCUCCGUCAACUGCACGCCCGCCGUUGGCGGUGACUCGACAUUAGCCGAGCUCGACGCCAUCAUCACGGUAACUAAUUAAGCCUCUCUCGACCGAGGACUUCAUCUCCUUGCCUUUGACUGGGCAUCCCUGACGCCCUACAUGUUUUCGCAGGGCACCGCCGACGUUCCGUGCACUCUCCUCCACUUCGUGAACAACGAGUUGGUCGAUGUCGCCAAGGGCAAAAUCGUUCAACCGGGCAACCCCUUGUUCCACGGUACCCAGAUGCCACCCAACUUGUUUAGGGUUCAACUGGUUCGGGUGCUGCCAGGCUGCGACGACUUGUUACCUCCGAUUCGACCCGUCGGGGCCGACGAUGAUGACGUGAUGACCCUCAGCGCCUGCCUGAGCUGGCCCCUGCUUUGGCCGAAGAGCCAGAUUCGUUUGGGGGCGGGGGACACCACCCCAAAGACAACACCGCCAGUCGUGCCGGCGCCAAGUCGGCCCCAUGGCAAGACCGCCGUAAGGGUGCUGGACAUCCCUAUGCCACUGGAUCCAAACAUGCAUAUGGCACAGGAUCAGAACGACGACGACGACGACGAUGAUACAUUUGGCAACGUCGAUCAGUACUUUGCCGAGCAUGGGUACGAUGGCGACUUCAUGGGGCCUCCUUCUCAAGAACCAAACCCAACAAAAGACGUGUGCGAUCUAGCUCGUACCGCGGAGAAGCCAAGUUGCAACAGGCGCCGUCUGGCGUUCAGCUCUCAGGAGACGCCUCUAGCUGCCGACUUCACCGAGCCUCAGAUAGGCGAGGUGCGAAAUAUUAUCAGCCCCAACACACUCAAGAAGGCGGUCUGUGAGCAGAACUCGGUCCCAUUACAGGAGAAGAAGAAGGCACGCAAAAGAAAGACUAAGAAGGGUGCGAGCCAGCCGGCACCGAGUACGAUCCGUGCUCAGGACGGGCCACCUUCACCGCAGGAUAUCUUGAGGAGGGUGCAUGUGGCGGGUAGGGCGAUGCUACCGACAAAUAUGCUCAAUGCUGCAACCGGUGCUAUGCGGAGUCUGCAUGACAGUGUUCUUGCUUUGGAGAAGCGGCGUCUCAGAGAGAAGGAUGUGGCAUACCCGGUUUUCGCGGCCAAGGUGCCAGAGGGCAAGGGCUUUGUGGAUAACUCCAUCGGGCGUACGAUCGUCCUGCGUUUUGAUGACAUCCACGCUAUGUUGAACCUUCAUCCGCUGCACUACACCUUCGUUCGGCUAUUUUCGCUGAGUAUGGAGAUGCGGAUCAUUCGCGACAAGACCCCGGACAUUGUGAUAGUCGACCCCUUCUACAUGCGUGCCAAGAUCUUGGGCAGCGCUGGGGACCGGCAAGUCGCGAGUUCUUACCUCGAAGGCGUCAUUCUGGCAAACCAAGAUAAGGAUAACUUCCUCGUGCCUUACUUUCCCGAGUAAGUCCUCCCCUCAACCGGCCCGUAACAUAUGAAUUCUUACUUUUCGAUCGUUUUUCUUUUAACAUUCCGUGUUUUCUGCAGUGACACACGUUGCACGCUCAUCCUCCUAAGCCCCAAAUAUUCCAUGGCCACGUAUUUCGACCCGGACCGUCAGUCGAACGUAGACUACACAAAUGUCAAGAAGGUUCUUGAUGAUGUUCUCCCCGGCUACGCCCAAUCUGGAGGCACCUUCACCAGGCCUAUUCGUAAGUACGGCAAGCACGUGUUCUCCCACAAUACGAUGUUCUGCUGCAUCAAGCAGCCGCCUGGCGGUCAGAAGGGUGCCUACUACGCCAUCCAUCACAUGCGGGCGAUCGUACGGGACCAUCAUCAACUUCUGCUACCGAGUAAACUCAAAGAUUGGGCCGCGAGCGUGUCGGCAAUCCAGUACGCGGACCUCCGACAAGAAUUCUUUCGCAUCCAGUCGGAGUUUGCGGAAAUCAUCCAUCAAGAUGUCCUUCGUACCUCGGGGCAGUUCUACCUCAGAAAUCAACCGUCCAACAGUGACAUUGACACAAUGCUACAAAUGCAGGAUGACAACGCCCGUUCUUUCAUGACUCCCACGAUAGACGGCGGCUUCAUCCACGCUCCGGUCCCUUGAGUCGAGUUGUCUAGUUCUGAAACAUCGAUUGGCUCAUGUUGUAAUUAAACUUUAAUGAACUUGUAGUAUGUCUCUUUGGUUUCGAGAGUCGUUCAACUUAGAUGUAAUCGAUGCUAUUAAUGUCUUCCUUUUCUCUUCCGAUCGUUCUGUUGCAUAAUUAUAUAUUGCUUAUGUAUUGUCUGUGAAUUGGUCUAACGUUUCGUUUGGCUAGUGCAUAGCGAUGCCGACGUAUGUCGUGUACAAGGGUAAGGUUCCCGGAGUCUACGAUGAUUGGGAGGAGUGUCGGAGACAGGUUCACCGAUUCAGCGGUAACAGUUACAAAGGGUACACCACUAGGGCCGAGGCCGAAUCUAGAUACGCCCGCUAUCUAGCGGGAGAGGGGAGGGAGCGUUGGAGGAACCGGAUGAAGACGAGUUUCAUCGUGAUGAUGCUCAUCGUGAUGACCGCAACUCUCUUCUAUGUGAUGGUAGUUUAGAUGAUCGAUAUCGACUUGUAAUGUGAAGACAAACUCGCUACUCGCGGUCUCGAGACUUGUAAUAUAAUGUUCUAUCUUUGUUCGGUCUUUUUAACUCGGAGACUAAUAUGAUGAAUUGUAUUCGGAGACUAAUAUGAUGAAUUGUAUUCAAAGACUAAUCUUCUAUUGUAUUCGAUGAAUCUGUUGUUGAUGUGUGCUGUCUAUAUUUUGUCAAACUAUACAUUUUGUAACCUGUGCAAAAAACAGAAAAUAAAAAGAUAAAAAAAACCUAAUAUUCAUACUAAUGGCGCAUCACAGGACAGUGCGCCAUUAGUAUGACAGUGCAUACUAAUGGCUAAUGGCGCAUCCAGUGGUGGUGCGCCAUUAGUAUGCCAAAGCACCUGGGUAUACAUGGCCCCUGGGAGGCAUACUAAUGGCGCACGCUGGCCUAUACUAAUGGCGCACCCGCGGUGCGCCAUUAGUAUACCAGAUACUAAUGACGCACCAGGUGGUGCGCCAUUAGUAAAAAUUACUAAUGGCGUGCUGUUAAUGGCGCACCACAGAUGCGCCAUUAAUGGCCAUAUUAGGUGCGCCAUUAGUAGGGGUUUUUCUAGUAGUGGGGCUCUGAAGUCAUCUUGUUUGACUCACCUACUAUGGGAUCACUAGCCCCCUGAGUUUGACCAGUGCUAGGUCCAGGUCUGAAACUUGCCUCAUUGCCAGGAAGAAGAUUGCCUUGCGAGAUUUGUGCUAGCAGAGCAUUAAGCAAUACAUGUUGUUCUUGUAGCAGAUCUUGUCCUCCCUUCCCUUGAGAUCCAGCAGGGUCUCCCUGGCUAGCUCUAGUCUCUUCUUCUUUUCCAUUGCUCUAGCUAAUUGCAAUCUCUCCAUAUUCCGCUUCGCCUUUGGCAGCUGUGUCAUGUCUUGUCUCUUGUCUCUCUUGAAUUCUCCAGUUCUAUCUCCCUCUAGCAAGAUCUCUCCUCUCCUCCCGUGGCAUCUAAUUUUUGUGGUAGUUCUCCCCUUCCUCUUUCCUUCUGUACUACCACCGAUCUCUCUCCCCUCUAUUGAGCCGACCCCCUCCUCCACCAAAUCUUCCUCCGAAUCGAUCCAUGUCUUCUUCUUCUCCCCACGGCGCACUAGUAAACCCUAAUUCUGGUUCCCCUCCCUCUCUGCCUUUUAUAUAUAGGUCCAGGUUGAGAGAGGAGAAAGAACCUGAAAGCAUAUUUUCAUUCCCCGUGUCUCCCUCACUUGGGCCUGGAUGUCCUCGAGUUGGGCUCAGAUCUAGGGCCCAAUUCUCCAAAGCAUCAUCAAAGUUAAUUUUUCUCAUGUGCAUCCUUUUUGUGAUUCUACUGUCAGUAACAAUAUUAAUCUCACAAUUAGGAAUAACCAAAAUAUCCAUGUCUAAGCCUAUCUCAGACCAAAAAUCUGGUAUAUCAUUUUUCAUUCUCAUUUUCUCUAUGACUAAUGCACCAUCCAUAUCUCUAUUUUUUUAGUGUUUUCUGCACUCACUUUCCUUCCCACAUCAUUUGAGUUUUUCUUGUUUUGAUUUUGUUCAUCUAUAUUGUCCAUAUCCUCUGUUUUCACCCUUUUUUUAUUCACAUUUUUUCUACUGCCUUUACUAUGACUAAUAGUCAUUUUGUUUUGGCAUGUAUUCAAAAAGUAUUUCUGUGGCAUGGUAUUCAUACCUCUCGGAUCUGAUGAGACGCCGUCCUCCUCAGCAGACUCCUCCCCAGCCAGCAACCAGAAGCGGUUGCCAGCAGGGGAGAAGCCUAGUCCUCUGCCGCGAACCUGGCCGCCUCUUGAAGGCACGGCGACCCGCCGAGGAAGCCGGGGGACCUGCGCGGAGUGUAGUUCUUCUCCUUCGUUUUCUUCUCUCCGCCUCGCUUCUCCACCAUCUGACUCGAGCUUGCACCCAGAUCCAUCUGCUCUUCCUCUGACUCCCCCUCGUUGUCGUCGAUCUGGAUCGGCACCCAGCGCGUCCCAGGAGUGGGGAUGGCCAUAACCGUGGUUACCUAACUUGGCAUGGGAUGCAGACCCAAACGAGCCGCGAAAAGAAAGCUUCGAGGCACGCCUACAUCAGAUUCAGUACCCACAUAAUAAUCCUCUGGUUCACCUAUAUAUACUGCUUACCGGCUUCGGCCAAAGAUACAUCGAAAACACCUAGGUUUUGCCUCAUCUCGCAACUUGCUCUGCCACCGUAGUCUACUCUAUCCCGAACGUCGGCGUGUGGUAGAGCAGGUUUUCCGAACCGUUCGUCCUUGCGAUCCUGCACUAGGAGAGAACGAAUUAGGUUUUUGGGAAGCGCUAUGCACGACUGCUCAACUUCCUCAUCACGGGUUGUCUUCCGUUCAAGCCGACUACUCAUCAUCGUCUUCAUCGCCGUCGACAAUAGAUCAUCGCCAACAUCGUCAUCAACACCGUCGCUCCUCAGCAACUUGCUCUCAGAAUGGGCCUAGCAAGCCAAUCAGGCCAUCCUUAUUUUAAUUUUAUUUUGAGUCGAUGAUAAAACUCCUUUUAACAGUAUUUGGUUCGAGAUAGAAUCUACACGUAGCUAAUGGUCUCAUCAUCAUCAACUACAGCAAGAAUAAACGUAUCAACCUCAUUCUCAGCUCCCUAAUUAAUACAUUUGAUCCUCGUUUCAUUACAUGCCCAUGCCCGAUCACCAAUAGAUUGAUCGAUCGAGUCAGCUGUUGACGCUGGAGCAGAGCCGCCGGAUCUCGUGGUCGGUGCCGGUAGUAGAUGCCGAGGCUCGUCAACCUGUUGUACGAGUCCGCCCGGCUGAUGAAGAAUAUCUCUGGCUCUGUGCGAAACACCACCACCCAGGACCGCCUCGUGGCAUUCUGCAGUCUGCACUAGCACCGACCAUAUCAUAUUAAUUUCCAAUAUUUGUCAAGUUCCAUCCUUCUCUUGAACUGAACCACCUUGUAAAUACUGGUUUUUAUCUUUAAACUUGCACGUAAAAACAGCGUUACCUACACAAACAUGUCAUUUAAAUAUGUCGAUCUGCUCAUCAUGAAGCAUCAAUUCAUUUCCUGCUCAUCAUGAAGCAGCAAAUCAUUUCCGUGCUAGACCACCCAUCACGUGCGUGCACUUACGGCUGACAAAAGCAUUAACAAAGGUUGGUAAUAUAAACUUCCUUUUCUGGAUCUCCAGAUUCCAUCAACACAUACAUUUGUUGACUUUUCUUGCCAAGAAAACUGCAGAGGCGAAGGCUGAUGAAAAACGAGAGAGGUAGCCAUUUUGUCAGCUAAGUUGAUUCAGACAACGCUCGUGACAAAGGGAGAGGAUGAAAAAUGAUGGCACUAUACACCCUUUUUCAUCCAUUGACAUGUUAUGAGAGCAAUGCGGGUAUUCAUGGCUCCCAUUUUUUCCUAGCUUUUAAAUUGCACACAGAGAAGUAAAAUUGUGCAAAGGACUACUGCUACUACUGAUCAUGGUUGUUUGAAACACGGGAGAGAGAUCAGAAUUCAGAGAACACCGUCGUCACCUGCAAAAAGGACAUAGGAUAGUUAGGAUCGAUCGGUCAUGCCUUCCAGCAUAUUACAUACAAUAAACAAUUGGUGUCGAUCAUGUGGCGGAUGAAAAAUGAACUCUCUUGUGUUGAAUUUCAAUCGUGUUGACAGUAAAGUGUAACAUCAAAGCAAGUGGUUUCCCAAAAUAGGCCUUGGUCAAACAACUAAAAUCAUGUAGAAAAGGCAAUGAAUCACAUAAUAAUGAACUCAUGAAAAACUAAGAAAAUUAUUGAGAAAAGCUCAACCCAAUACCCAUUUUUGUUCUAACAAGGAAAAAUAUGCCACUAAGAAAAUCAAUAACAGUCUAGCUAUUGCAGGUGUCUUGCUAUGUACUAGAACGUCUUACAUUAGUGAACAGAGGGAGUAGCAUGCAAUUGGACAUUGAUGUUUCAUUGAAACAAGUCACGUUCUGUAAGACAAUAAGUUUUGGGGAACCAGCACAACCCUCUAGGGGUGGCUUAUCUCAUUAUAUAUAAUGGUUGUGUUACAAUACGUACAUAAGUACAGAAGCUAUACAUAGUCUAACACCCUCCCUCAAUCUUAGCCACUUUCUAAAGAACUGAGAAGGGUAAGAUUGCGCCUACAAGCCUCAAACUGUGGCAGCGGUAAAGGCUUAGUGAAGAUGUCUGCAAGUUGAUCCUUAGAUGAGAUAAACUUGAUCUGGAGUUGCUUCUGCGAUACACGUUCCCGUACAAAGUGAUAGUCAACUUCAAUGUGUUUCGUUCGGGCAUGAAAUACUGGAUUUGCAGAAAGGUAUGUAGCACCGAUGUUAUCACACCAAAGAAUAGGAGGCUGUGGUUGAGACAAACCCAACUCCUGAAGCAAAGACUGCACCCAAAUAAUCUCUGCAGUAGCAUUAGCCACAGCCUUGUACUCAGCUUCAGUAUUGCUACGUGACACAGUAGCCUGUUUCCGAGCACUCCAGGCGAUCAAAUUAGAGCCAAAGAAUACUGCAUAACCCCCCGUGGAUCGCCUGUCAUCUGGGCUACCAGCCCAAUCUGCAUCAGAGAAGGCCGAAAGGACCCGAGAGGAAGUCGGCCGAAUAUGCAUACCAAAUGUCAGGGUGAACUGAACAUAACGAAGAAUGCGUUUAACAGCAGCCCAAUGAGUAUCUCUGGGAGCCUGAAGAUACUGACAAACCCUGUUAACAGCAUAAGAGAUAUCUGGUCUCGUGAUCGUCAAGUACUGAAGUCCACCAACAAUGCUCCUGUACUCUGUGGCAUCCGCAGGAGACAAAAGCUCACCAUCAACAGCUGUUAUCUUGUCGGUAGACGACAUGGGUGUGGUGGUCGGUUUGCACUUCAGCAUGCCAGCUCUUUGUAACAACUCCAAGGAGUACUUCUUCUGCGUAAGGACAAGACCAGUAGCACGAGAAGUGACCUCAACUCCAAGAAAGUAGUGAAGCUUCCCAAGAUCUUUGACCGCAAAAUCAGCACCAAGAGAGCAGACAAGAGCAUUAGCAGCAUACUGAGAAGAGCUGACAAGGAUAAUAUCAUCGACAUAUACCAAAAGGUACAUAGUGACUUCUGGCUUCUGUAGAAGAAAUAAUGAAGUGUCAGCAGUGGACGGCACAAACCCAUGAGCACGAAGGGCAGAGGCAAGGCGGGCAUGCCAGGCACGAGGAGCUUGCUUCAAACCAUAUAGUGCUUUGGAAAGACAACAGAUAUAGUCAGGACGAUCAGGAUCAGAGAAACCAGGCGGCUGUUUCAUAUAGACCUCUUCCUCCAAAAAUCCAUGUAGAAAAGCAUUCUGCACAUCAAGUUGACGAAGUGACCAACCACGAGAAACAGCAAUGGAGAGAAGAAGCCGAAUAGUGGUAGGCUUGACGACAGGACUGAAGGUGUCCUCAUAGUCAAGACCAUGACGCUGCCGAAAACCGCGAGCAACAAGUCACGCUUUGUAACGCUCAAUAGAUCCAUCCGAAUGCUUCUUCACUUUGAAUACCCAUUUUGAGUCAAUAACAUUUACCCGUGGUGGUGGAGGAACGAGAGUCCAUGUCUUGUUACGAAGAAGAGCAUGAAACUCCUGCUCCAUAGCCUCUCGCCAAUGUGGAAUGCGCAGGGCAGCCUGAUAUGAGCGAGGCUCAGAAGAUGGAUCCGCAACAGCAGCAGCCAAACAAGCAGCCAACCAAGCAACCGUACCAUCCUUACGUUCCUUAGGUUUGAAAAUGCCACUGCGAUUGCGUGUAUGUGGUCGGGACACAGGAACCACCGAGGUCGAUGGAGCAGCCUGCAAUGGGUUGGAGGACGGCGACGUUGACGAGUUAGGCGGUGACGAGGAGCCAGUCACGGUAGCCUCGGACUCGGUCGACGAAGAAGGCCGGCCCACCGGCGAAACCGGCAGAGCAGACGAAGCAGCUGGCGACUCCGGCAUCACAGACCGGGCCGUUGGCGAGCUCGGCAUAGUGGGCCGUGGCGCGGCCGGUGUCGCGGGCCGAUCUGCGGAUGAAGGCGACGUGAGGACCCGAGCCGCGGGCGAAGACGGCGUGACGGGCCGAGCCGCAGGCGAAGACGGCGUGACGGGUCGAGCCGCGGGCGACUCGGCGGCCGCUGGCGAAAAAGGCCGAGCCGCUGGAAACUCGGCGAUUGCUGGCGUAGCGGACCGAGCAGUGGAGAUGCUCGGCGCGACGGGCUCAUCGGGUGACCAUGCAUGAGCACGCGAAUCGACGCCAUGCAACAUAGGGCGAUCGACGUGCCCACCAGAAGACGACGACGAUGAUGGUGAAUCCUCCAACAGCUCCAAACGAGCUCCACGUCCGGUUCCUGCACCAUGGUUAGGUAACAGCAAAGGAGAGUAUGCAACAUCAUCAAAUUGGUCAGAAGCAAUAGAGGAUGAAUGCAGGGAUGGUGGUUCGACAGUAGACACAGGAAGGCUGGCAAAGGGAAAAACAUGCUCAUCAAACACGACGUCCCGAGAUAUAUAGACACGAUUAGUGGGAACAUGAAGACAUUUGUAACCUUUAUGAAGAGAGCUAUAGCCAAGAAAAACACACUUCUUAGAACGAAACUCAAGCUUGCGCUUGUUAUAUGGACGAAGAUGCAGCCAGCAAGCACACCCAAAUACCUUGAGAAAGGUAUAAUCAGGUUGUUCAUUAAGGAGAACCUCAAUGGGAGUCUUCAUGUUUAAAACACGAGUAGGAGUACGGUUGAUGAGAAAGCAUGCAGUGGUGAAAGCAUCACUCCAAAACCGAAACGGAACAGAUGCAUGGGCCAAAAGAGUAAGACCAGCUUCAACAAUAUGACGAUGCUUACGUUCGACUGAACCAUUCUGUUGAUGUGUAUGUGGACAUGCUAAACGAUGAGCUAUCCCAAGCGACUGAAAGAAAGAGUUGAGGUUGCGAUACUCGCCCCCCCAAUCCGACUGGACAUGAACAAUUUUGUGCUUGAGAAGACGUUCAACAUGUUUUUGAAACUGAACAAAAAUAUCAAACACAUCAGAUUUGCGUUUAAUAAGGUAAAGCCAGGUAAAGCGACUAUAAGCAUCAACGAAACUGAUAUAGUAAUUAUGACCACUGACAGAAGUCUGAGCAGGACCCCAUACAUCUGAAAACACAAGUUCUAAAGGAUGUUUCACCUCACGACUGGACUCCAAAAAAGGAAGUUGAUGACUCUUCCCCUGCUGACAAGCAUCACACACUGCUACAUCUUUAUUACUAGACAAACUAGGAAGCUCAUGACGACGCAAAAUAUGACGGACAAUAGGUGUGGCCGGGUGACCAAGACGAGCAUGCCACUGUGACGGAGAGACCCAAACUCCACUGAAAACGCGAGCGACGCCAGGAUGCUCCAGACGGUAGAGGCCCUGGCACAACCGCCCACUAAGAAGAAUGUCCCUCGUGCCCCGAUCCUUAAUAAAAAGAUCAAAAGGGUGAAAUUCACAAAGAACAUUAUUAUCAUGUGUGAGUUUAGGAACUGAAAGAAGAUUACGGGUCACAGAUGGAACUCGAAGAACAUUGCGAAGCUGAAGAUUCCUAUUGGCAUGUCUAGUGAGAAGAGAUGCUUGACCAAUAUGAGAGAUGUGCAUACCUUCUCCAUUGGCGGUGUGGAUCUUGUCGGAGCCAUGAUAGGGUUCACGAGUGUGAAGCUUCCCCAUCUCGCUGGUCAGAUGCUCUGUCGCCCCAGAGUCCAUGUACCAGUGUGGAUCGAUGGAGUAGGACUGAGUGUGUCCCUGUUGCUUCUGCGGCGCGGGACGAUCAGCCAUGGCGACCUGACGGGCAUUGUUGCGUGUAUCUUUGCCGUCAUUGCCAAGACCAAGGAAGCUUCGCUGGAAGCGCUUAUGACACUUGGAGGCCCAGUGCCCAUCGCGGCCACAAAGCUGACACACACGUGGACCGCCAGCCCCCGGUAAGGUCGCAGUAGGUGGGGGGGGGGGCCGAGGCGGGCGACGGUGGCAGCCCCAAGGGAGACCGGGGUGAUGAAGAAGAGCGGCCACCCUUGGUGGCGGCGUUGGUCGAGAGGGAGCCAGUGCCCCUGGUGCGGCGAGUCUCGACCCAUUGCUCAGUGAGAAGGAGCCAAGAGAAAACCUCGUGUGCCAGCAUGGGUGUCGAGUUGCCCCGCUCGUUGAUGAUCUCGACUAAGGCAUCAUACUCCUCAUCAAGACCAUUGACAAUAAACGAGUUGAACUCGGAGUCGGUGAGGGGCUGUCCAAUGGAGGCCAAUGUGUCGGCGAGGCCCUUGACCUUGUUGUAGAACUCAGUGGCAGUGGAGUCAAGCUUCUGACACUCUCCAAGCUGACGACGGAGUGCAGAGACACGAGCCUGGAACUGCGCUGCAAAGGUGCGCUCAAGGAUGGUCCAGGCCUCAUGAGACGUCUUCGCGAAGACAACAAGGCCGGCAACUGCCGGCGAGAGCGACCCCUGGAUGGAGGAGAGAUUCGCCUGGUCCUGCCCCGUCCAGACGCGAUGGGCCGGAUUGUAGACCGGACCGUGCACGCUGUCUACCAACGCGGGUGGGCAGGGAAGCGAUCCUUCGACGUAGCCUAGCAGGUAGUGACUCCCCAAGAGCGGGAGAACCUGCGCACGCCAGAAGAUGUAGUUGUCGGCGGAGAGCUUGAUGGUGAUGAGAUGACCGAAGUGAAACGGCGGCGGCGAAGACGAUCCCAUCGAGGAGGCUGCCUGGGGUGCAAACACCAUGGAGGCAGCCAGAGGCACCAAAGCCGAUGCGGGAGGAGGCGGGACCGCAGCCAGGGCGGGCGCCGCAAAGCUCGCGGCCGGUUCGGACGCCGCAAGGCUGGCGGCCGGGGCGGACGCCACCAACCCCGCCAGUGGGGCGGUGUGAUCCGCUUGCGGCAGGAGCGGCGGGACGACGCCUGCGGAGUCCGCAGCGGACGGCGGCGCCGCGGUGUGGACUACGAGGUCACGCCCAAGCGAGGGCGCCGGCGGCGUGGAGAAGACGGAGCCGAUGCUCCUUGUCCCGAUCGGAGCCGGAACGGAGACGGCAUCGAGCGGGAGGUUGAGCAGAGCCGCAAGAGAGGCCGGGAGGAAGCCCGCAGCAGUGGAACCGGUGGUGGCGGCGCUCGACAUGGCGGCGGCGCAAUCGGUGGCGCGGCGGCUGCGGUGAAGGCGGCGGCGGCUGCGGCGGCGGUGCGGGUAUUAGGGUUUAGAAGCGGAAGCGAUCGUAACCUAGCGUGAUACCAUGUAAGACAAUAAGUUUUGGGGAACCAGCACAACCCUCUAAGGGUGGCUUAUCUCAUUAUAUAUAAUGGUUGUGUUACAAUACGUACAUAAGUACAAAGCUAUACAUAGUCUAACACGUUCUGAAGCUGAAUGUUCCAUAAAUCAUCUGAAAUUUCCACCUAAGAUUUCAGACAGCAGACAAGACUCUUUGCACCUAAAUUUCCAAAGGGGGGAAGCGUGAGAAAUUAAGGCAUGCAUGUGCAACAUAUGUUGAACUGGUUGGUGUAAUCAUCCACCUUUUUGCCUUAACUAGUUACUAUCUGCCGUGAUGGUCAUGGCGAUCACCCCCCGGGUCAUCAGACUCACUUCAGUUAAGUAUCCUUUACAAGAAAAGAUCACCCCCUUUCCACGCUGAUGAUGAUUCAGAUAGCAUGUUACAUGCAUGUGUUUUCUAAAAAGAAUUGAAGAAUUGUUUGAGCCAACCAUAAAGCUAGCUGUACUGCUACAUCCCACCCACAACUCAAAACUUGCUGUUCAUUUUCUCUGCUGUUGGCAUCACUGAACGACCUAGCACUGAAUUCCCUAGAUGAAUGCAUAGCUAGGUAGAUUGUUUUGUUUCAGACCAAGAAAUAGCCAGAAGUUAUAACCUACGUACUGUCUAAACUCUAGACCCAUUUGUUUGCAUUGCCAAACUAGUACCGACAGAGAUCCACAUUAUUUCAUCAAGGUAAUUCAGAUUACCGCCCGCACAAGGUCAAGCACAGCCGGGGGGUCGCUUCCAGCACCUCGCGCCAGCGCCGUCACCUUAGGACCUCGUGGCGGCGUCCGUGGGGCCGUGGGGAGCGGGCACUACAACCAAGCCCAGGGGGUUCGCCUCCAGGACCUCGUGGCGGCUGCGCCGCCUCCCAGGUCCUUGCGACGGCGCCUCCCUCUCGCGAGAUGGGUUGGACGAGAUGCGAGGGAUUGACGGAGCGAAUUGACAAAGUUCCUAAAAAAAAACAGGACCAUAAUGACUUUAUUGAUUAAACAUAAUAUUUUUAAUUAACAUGUUAAAAUCAACGGUGGGAAAUAAUCAAAGGGGGAGUUACAUGAAAUUACAUAUGGUAACUCGCCAAUCACCGUAAAAGAGCUCCUAACUAAGACGAUAGAGUCUGUUCUAAGUCAUGUGUUGAGCGAUAUUUGUGCAGGCCAUGGAAGUUGUUGAUUUAGAUCAGCAAACUAAAAUGGACGCUGAUCUUGAUGGGCAUGUGAUGUGCUCUAUAUCUGAUGAAAAUGGAAACCGCACUAUGCAGAAAUGCACUGGGUACAUGCUAACAUUGCUCGCCAUGUGAUGUGCUUUCUAUGUGAUCAAAAUGGAAACCACGAUAUACAGAACGCACUGAGAACAUCUCGCAGAAUGCCAUCCAGUUCACUUCAGCAUUUCAACUUUAUAUAGCAAAGUUCUGGUGCUAUCGAUUCAUCCAAAUGGACGUUGAGUGAUACAUGUAUGCUUGUAGUGGUAUAUUGUGGUACACUCGCCUUACCAUUUUCACUUGGUACAGAGGAUGUCAGAGCACUCUGACGAUCCUACAACCUAGCAAAUAAUGAUGUAUGAGGUCUCCCAGUCUGUUUGUUUGCUUGCUUGCGAGUAGAGACAAGUAUGAUAACUACGUUGUCUAGGUUAGUGACAAACAAAUUUGGGAAGAUAUUAUUCAUAUACUAUUUCUAUUGAUGGUCGCUUUUCAAUGGAUUAUCACCUUCUCUGUGGGUACCUGUUUUCGGAACAAAUUAUUGAAACUAGUCCACAUCUCAUGACGUAUGGACUUGAUAAAAGUUUUCUUCCACGUGACGGUUGAUUCAUGGAAAUCAAGUAUUAGCUAUUUCAUGCAAAACACAAGCCACAGGGUUAUAUCGAACUGGUCCAAAUGUUCAACAACUAUAUGCAAGGUCCUUGAUUCCUGCAAAAAGAAAAAGGUCCUUGAUAUUUUUCUUAAACUGGAAUAGAACCACAUGAGCACUUAAAAUCGUAACAUGUAAUGCCACUCGGUUCCUGCACGAAAAAAUGUCAUUUUCAGUUUGGGAAUGAUUUUCCAUACCCAAACCUAAUUGAAACAGGGGCGAAUAUAAUCCAACGGAUCGUACGCGAGGAGUUGGACGGUAUUGCAGGUCACCGAUCUGGCUUUUGCGCCGAGGUGACCUGGCUUUUGCGCCGGACGAUCGGCGUAGAGCGCUGCCCUAAUCUUUUUUAGUAUAUACUAGAGUAUAAGCAACCCCCUAACCUAAUUGAACCGGACAACUAAUCCCCUAGCCGUGCUUCGCAGGCCGGUUCAGAUGACGUUGACUGUUAUGUACUCAUUGGCACAUGGGAGGUGUGAUACUGACAUGGAAUAGGAAGCGGGCACUACUUCCAUUUCUCUUGUAUGCAGCUCUCUCUGCAACAUUUCUCCUGUAGCUGACGCAAGCAGCCAUGGCCCCUCAUACUGCUGGUGCCGGUACGUCAAGCCGAUACAGGAGCUCUCCAACAAAGAACUUGCCGCACCGACCAUGUACCACCACCCGACGCCCGGUCGGACGUCGUGUAAAACGGCUAUGAAGGUGGGCACGUCCCGGACCUGAGUGGCCUACUCCUAGUGAGCGCACUGUCCUAUUCCGUCUCCUUCCGUGAUCUCCCGUGCCCUGUGGCCUGCUCGUGCCGCCCGCGGUGGUACUGCUCACCGCCGCCGCAGUAGCGGAUGACCCUGAGCCCCCGCGUGCGCCACCUCUGUUGGACGCAGUGCGUCCCUGGGAGUCGAACGCGCUGGUCACAUGUGUUCUCUCUCUCGAUGGAGGUGAGACUAUGAGAGUGAGACACAAAUACCUGGCAAAAAGAAGAAGAAGAAAAUGCAAGGAAAGAAAGCGCAGAGAUGUUCAGAGCGUUUCCCUUUAUUGAAUCAAUCAACACCACACUCGAUUAUGACUGACGACUCUCGAUUAUAAGUCCUAAUUGAAGCACCCAUUAACCAACUAAACCACCAUGAUUCAACUAUACAACCACCAUUGCAUGCGAAGCCAAUUGAUAGUACAUUAAUACUAUUUAUUUACCCAGUUCUACGUACGAUCCAUGGCACUCCAGUCCACCCAGGCAGCAGCAGCACACACCGAAUCCAUUCCACCAAGUCCCAAGGUACUUCCGCGACUCCGCCUGCGUCUGCCAUCUUCACUGCUACACCUGCACCACAGCGGGAGGCGCCAUGUGUACCACUAUCUGCGGCGGCGGCGGCGGCGGUGGGUGGACAUCCUCGCCGUCGUCGCCAGGAGCCCAGCAGCAGCGGUAAACCAAGCAUGCGAAGCAGGCUAGCACGAAGGCAGCAGCUAAGCUGAGCAGAACUAUGAGGAGAGUGGAGGAGCGGUGUGCGGCAGGCGUAGGCGGCGGCGGUACCGGGGUGUGGAGGAGGGGAUCUCGGUCAUCACGUGGGGCCUCGCCGCCGGCAGUGGUUAGGAGAAGGAGGAGGAGGACAGGGAUGAUGUACUUGUGCGCCGCCAUUGCGGAGGUUGGGUGGGUCGAUCGCCGGCGGCAGCUUCAAAGGUGAGAGCUGUGGCCGAAUGCGCGGUCCCUUUAUAUAAGGAGGGAAAGGGAAAAGUCUAGAAGAAAGCUCUGCCAUGUGGGCCCAAUCGGCAAGAGAGACAUAUAGUGUGAGCAAAUAACCACUAGGACACCUCGUCAUGGUCAAGUACUGAUCAAAGAAAACCACUUCAGUUCUGGAGAGGGAGCAAAGUUGUCCGAUAAAAAGUUGCAAAUGCAACUUGUCCAGUUUUAGAAUUCAGAGAGUAAAGAUACUAGUAAAUUACCUGCAAAAAAAAAGAGAGAUGCUAUUAAGUUACACGUGCCUUGCACGUGAGAGUGGUGUGACCAGAUAUCAACAUACAACAUUAUAAUAGGCAGACAUAUACAUUUUGAGUCACACACAAAUGAAUUUAAGAUGUAGGUUUUAGUAUCAUCGCCCAUCCCAUUCGAAAUCACAUUAUAACUACAUAAUAUUUGAUGAUUGUGUGUGAUAUACUACACAAACGCCUGUGAAAUUUAUAAGAACAAUUGAUGAGUACUCCAUUGUAAAGAAAAUUGGACUUUGGAAAGAUACUGCAUUAGCUUUGGAAAACAAAUUAAAGUAAAAAUAAAUGGCAAUUCGUUUGGAAGAGAAAAACUUGAAGAGCUGAAGUAUGAAGAGUCUAUAACAAAUGAGAAGAGUAUGUGUUAUGUGUAUAUUGUACAACAUAAAUGAUGUAAUAAACAUGAAUGGCAAUUCUUUUAACAAAGAAAAACUUGAAGAUUUGAAAUACCAAAGAGUCUAGAAUUAUCUUUGUUUUUAGGUUUGUGCAUAAACACAAGUGUGGAAUAUUGUGGAUUAGUAUAUGUGCCAAAAUCCAGUGUGGUGGAGAGAAUAUAUAUCCAAUGGCCAAGGCUACUUGGAUUUGCCUGCCCUCAACCAUUGAAUCGGCUUCAUCCAACAUAUGAUAUUCAAAGUUAUCCGUACACUAUAUAGUGGUAUAUACAAAUAGGCCAUGCGGCUUGUAUCUCUCAAGUAGUUCCAUAGUCUCCUCCUCGGAGCAACCGAUGGGGGACACCAAUCACUAGGCAAAGUUGGUGUGCAACCCCGAGCAUGCCUGAAUAGCACCAACAAGCUGCAACGGUGGAUAGCUCCUCCUGAUCUAGGCGGCAGAAGACAACAACUUCAUCUGCAUAAAGUGUGACAGUCAUCAAGUGGAAAGGGUGUGAGACGACGAAGCAACGCUAAGUCCCUCUCUCUACGGGACAACAUAUGAGAGUUUCGAACCAAAACAAGAUAUGGGAGAGGGGGUCACCCACCUAAAGGCCCGAGCGAAGAUAAACCAGUGGCACUGACUCCCCGUUGAGCAUCACGCUAGUGCUACCCAAGGACAGGAGGAUGUCAACCUACUAGCAAAAGUGAGGGCUAGACCCAACACUGCAGAGCACCUCAAAGAGAAGAGACCAUGGCACAAAGUCAUACACGGGCGAUAUCCAACUUAAGCAUGGUACGUGGCUCCCCCAACCAAUGUAGGUAUCAUGUCAUCUGCUAAACCAUCAUGAAUUAUCAUGUAUGCAAUGUUUCUUGAUGAACAUGCAUUGGCUCUCGUCAACCAAGGAUCCCAACCUCGUCGACAACCUAGCGCUCAAUGUCUUCGCCACCAACUUGGCGAAGGUGUGGAUGAGACUAAUGGGGCGAAUAUCCCAGAGGGCGGAGGCUUUCAAACACUUGGGCACCAUGACUAGUGGGUACAGAAACAGAAAAUUAAGAGGAAAAAAAUUGUAUGAUGAAUUUUCUUUAGAAAAGGAGGUUAAACCCUCGACCUCUGCAUCAAUAGGUGCAUAGAGCCAUCUUUAUUAAUUAUUCCACGAAGGUCUAGCAAGAACGUACAUCAAGCAACCCAAAGCCACCACUCACACCUACAAACUUCAUAAUGUGGAGUGCUCGCACUCCUCAUAUCUAUAACCGAUGUCGUCGCCGACCCAUCCAUGUAACAUAUCAGAACCAACAACCGGUGCAGCAGAUCUAAAGCGUACACCACAUGCACACGUGUCACCAUCAUCAUCGAACCAUUGUCUCAUCAUCGGGAGAGAGAUCCGCAUCAUCCUUGCCAGUCCAGCCAUCUGUCGACGCCACCACGGCGCCCAAUGACGCCACCGCUCUGCGCUCGUCCAUCCCGAUGCGAAGAUUAUGAAAGAUCUGCCGUGUGUGGCACCUACCGAAUAGGCAUGACACAUCGUAGCAUCUGUUGGCUAUGCAUGACUUGACAUCUCCACCGAAGCUCCGUUCAAGACGAAGCUGCUCCACCUCCUACCUUUGCCUUCCAGCGCAGCUCCACAAACUAUGCUCCCAAGAGAAAAUGACACCGUAGUGCCGUCAUCGUUCGAUCGCGAAGACCAGAUCCUAGGGUUUCCCCCGGAGCAGUACGAGUGGGGUCGACAGUAGUUACACAAUGAUGCCUUCAUCAAGGUAACGACGUAGAACACUGCCAUCGCCUGCCGUCGGCUCAGUUUUCACCGACAACUAUGUCUACCCGACUCACAGUCAGAACUAGAUGGCGGAUGUCGAGAUCCGACCACCCCGCCUUCGGCCGACCACCUCCGACGGAGGAGAUGACCACCACCACCAUCGGCUGCACCGCCCAGAAUAGAUCUGACCGGAGGUGCCGACGCGUAGUCCAACAGGCCUUCCACGCCGCUGCCGAUCCGAAGCCAGAUUGUGCACCGCCGCAGCAUAGCCAGUCGCCGCUACCAACUGCAUCGCGUUGCCGCCUGAAAUGGGCCAGCCGCCACCCGCAGUCCCGAGCGCCUGUAGCAACAGGCGUCCGAGGCAGGCCGGCCAUCGCCACCAUCACCGCAGCCAUCGCCACCGCUUUGUUGGGUCCGCUGCACCUCCAACGUAUAGGGGCACCGCACCACCCCUAAAAUGCAGGACUGUGGGAGAGAGGGAGUCCCCCGCCACCGCCGUCGGCCCUCGGACGUCGCCAGGUGGCAUCCCCCAGCGUCGACGGAGGGAGGGGAGGCAGGAGUGUGCGCCCCCGGCGGCUAGGGUUUGGGCGCCUCCUGAGACGCCAUGGCGGGGACAACUCGGGGCCUACCUGGUGGCCUUUCCCGAAUGGGAACUCCUUGAGAAAGAUGGGAAUUGUCGUGGAAUUAACACGCCAGAUGUCCUAGUGAGAGGACUUAGUCGUGGAGCCAUCACAACUAGAUUAGCUUAAAGGGGUUAAACCGGACAAAGGACACGGGGAGUUUAUACUGGUUCGGCCCCUUGCGGUGAAGGUAAAAGCCUACGAUCUAGUUGUGGUGGAAUUGAUGGGGUCUCGAUGAUUAGGGAGCGAAUCCGCUUUGCAUGUCUCUCGAUUUGUUGUUUCUUGUCCCUCAAUCGCCGCCGGGUCGUCCCUUUAUAUACACAGGUUGACGCCCGGCAGUUUACAGAAUCCCGAGGCCGGCUCAUACUUGUGUCCGGCUCGGUUUCUACCUUUUCCUAUCUUAUUGUACAAGUUACAUAUCUCAUGGCGGUUUAUGUCUAUGGGCCCUAAUUCGCCCUUGGGCUUUGGGCCUCUAAGUCUCCGUAGUAAAGCGCCAUACCCCUUGUCUUCAUGGGCUUCAAUACGGAUGAUUCCUUGUGAACAUAACCCGACCCCUCCUGGGCGGUUUAUACUCAGUAGUUAUAUCCCCAACAUUAGGCCCCACAUUGAUUUGAACAUGUUCAUGUCAAUCUUCAAUACUUAGAAAAACUCCUUGAGUAUCUUCGUAUGAACCUUGUAAACCACCAUGACAUCAUCUCCAUAUGAACUUGGUAAACUGCCGUGACAUCAUCUUUCAAGAUUGUAGUAAAUCCCCAUGACGUCACCUCCUUAUUAAAAACCUAUAAAUACUUCCCUUUUAUUAAUGAACCUCCGAAAACCAAGGCGACAGCUGUGUCACAUAUCCAUUUUUUGGGUUCCUCGAUUCCCGCGCCUGUCACUUAUCCCUUCGCCUUAUAAAUAGAACCAAGGGCCAUUCUUUCUUUUCCCCUUCGUGCCCUUUUGCCUCGUCGUCUUCCUUGUGUCGCCUCAGCGCUCGAACACAGCCGCCAUCGUCGACCUUCGCCUCUGCACCAACAACGGCCGCUGCAUCAACCUGAUCUGACAAGAGAAACGCGGCGCCUCUCCGCUACUCCUUCAACCUCUGUAAGUUUUCUUCUUCACCUCAGAUCUAUCAUUAGGGUUUCGUUAUUCUUCAGUGUUCUUCAGUGUUCGUCAAUGUUCAUUGCUGCACCUUGAGGCCACAUAAGAACUUGAUAAAUCUUGAUAUUCCUCCUGUGUGGCCAUAGCUAUAGCCCAUUUUUCCUCAUCAUAGCAUCUCUUCUUCAGAAAACAGAUCCCAACAUGUUUUUGAUUGUUCCGCUGUCACCACUCAGGGCUAUGGAAAUUUUCUCCGUUUUAGAACUGUGGUAGAUCCAAAAUCAUAACACCAACUUGUGAAACCUGUUUGUGCAAUACUUAGGAAUUUCUCAGAUCUGUAGCUUCCGCACUAUUGUAGGCGGUUUAACCUUUAAAAGAUGAUAACCCGCCAGGUACCAUUAGCCCUCUCUUAAACCGCCAACUCAACCUCAACGUUAAACAAUCUGGUUUAUUAUGCAUGUAUGCUUCAAUUUCUUCUUCCUUCUGUCCUUAGGUCGGUUUAUCUACAUUAGUCACGGAUCUUUGAACCGGCAUUGAUCCUUUUUUCCAGCUUUCCAUUAACAUGGACAAAACAUUCUAUGCUUGCAAUUGGGUUCCUUCCCGGGUCACUAAAGAACAACUCACUGGGUAUGUUUUGACUGGCGCUUUAGCGAGCCAAGAAACCAUUCAUUGGAGGGUUCUCGGUUCAGAAAAUCCUCCUGAGCCCCAGAAUGGAGAAGUGAUUGUAUUUACUGAUCAUCUGAAUCAAGGGUUCAGCCCGCCCAGAUCAAAAUUCUUUCGCGAUGUGCUUGCAAGCUUCUAGAUCCGCCCUCAAGAUAUUGGACCGAACUCCGUGUCCAAUAUAUGUAAUUUUCAAGUAUUUUGCGAAGUCUAUCUGCAACAGGAACCCACUUUGGAACUAUUCCGGGACUUUUUUUUACUUAAACCACCAUACUGAAUUUACAGACGGGCCCAACACUGAACUCGGGGGCAUUUCAAUCCAGAAGAGAAAGGAUGUUGACUUUCCUCACGCCAAACAUCAUAGCCACCCCAAGGACUAGAAUCAGACUUGGUUUUACUGCCGCAAUACAGCUCCAGACAAUGAAAAUCCUUUGCCGGGUUAUUGUGCAUACCAGCUUCCCAAAACUCAUCCGGUUCCUCAGCGACUAACUGCCAAGGAACGAUCAAGUUAUGCCCCUCAGCUAGCAAAACUCAGAGCUUUUGUGGCCAAUGGUCUGACAGGCAUUGAUUUCGCUCGAUGCUGGGUGUCUUGGAGCUUUUGCCUUUAAUACGGCGCCCCGGUUUAAUGUGUGCAUACACAGGGGAUCUAAAAGACCCUCAGCGUCAUAUUGACAUCCAUCUCACGGAUGAUGAAGUCACCGAAGCUGUCAAGAAAAUGCUUGAUGAACCGGUGGUUGCAUGUAGCAGAGUAGGGCUUAGCCCCUUCUAUGCGUCCAACAAACCGCCAGCUGUAAGAAUUGUCUUAUUUUUGCCUUAAUCCAUCCCUUCUUAAUCAUUCCUUUAUACUUGUUGUCCAUCUGCGCAGGGUGAUGAUCCGUUCUGGAAGAGGAAAGCACAGGAUAAACCGGCAAGAGCUCCUCGCGUCAAGACCAGGGUUACGAAGAAGCCCACAAAGAAAAGAACUGCCAAACCCUCUGACUUGCCCAAUGACGAAGAGCUCGCUGACCCGGAAUCAGAGGUAGAACUUGACUCUCUUGGUUCUUUUUCAUACACCUCAUUGACAAUGAUUAUUAUCAGGAUGAUGCGGAAGCUAGCCACGCUGGUGAUGUAGAGGUAAUUGUUCUAUCCUCCGACUCAAAUCAUGUGCCAGUACCAAAACUUCGUCGAGCAGUCCAGAAAGUAAAAUAUUCACACCCUCUUGCUUAUUUGGAUCCACACUUUUCUUUGAAGACACAACAGCAAGAAGCUCGCCGCACAACCCGGCACAGUGGUCAAGUGGUUACCUCCUCCGGUUUACCAUAUUCUCCGGUUCGCAAACGCCGUUAAGAGGUCUCUUGUUCUUCUAAUACAAUUUGUCCCAAGGCGGGUUACUUCCGAUAUCCUCUUAAUCCAUAUGAUUCGAAUUAUCAAGGAACCUCCCAUUCAUCCUCCGGCGAUUCAUCAACCACACAGAUGCCUCCACUCAAGACCAUUCCUGGGUAAGGAUACUAUACUUAAUUUUUAUGCCUUGCACUGGUUUAUUGUACUAACCUCUGUGUUUAUUCUUUUUAGUGCCAAAGCCAGACUUAGCAAGAAAGCCAAGCUGACUAUACCAGCUGAUGAUAAUCCGACCACUGAACCAGAAAGGACCUCAAAGGCUCUUGAUCAGAAUGUUGACAUUACUCUGGAUGAUCCGGUACCUCAGGGUCAGGAUACUUUUGUUGAACCGGCAUAAAUGAAUCCAACGAGCCAAUCUGCUGACCCACCAAGCCCAACUGCCGAUCCACCAAGCCCAGCAAGGAAAUCUGCUAAACCGCCAAGCCCAGAAAAAACUGUUGAUGGCACCACAGAUGAUGUUGUGAUUACCGGCUUUGGCCAUACUGCUCCUGGCAACACUGUCGCUUUAUCAAAAAAUAGUGCCAAGGAAGAAUUUUCUGAUGUGGACAAGGGCAAGUGGAAAACAGAUUUGUCAAGCUAUGCCCACCUCUCUGCUCAGGACAUUCACUCUUGAUAUUUCAACCGUCCGUAUACAAGCCGUGACUAUGAAGCCGGUUUAGUAGGUCUAAUGAAAGAGCGAUAUGAGGUAAAUAUCCAUUCCUUUGCACAAGUUCCUUUUCCUUAGGAACUGCUUCAAUUAUCAACUCCAGUAGCCCCCAAGGGCCGGUUUAUACCUUUAGGAUGAACUGGCACCUUUCUUGUCAUGUAGUAUUCGGUUUAUUGAUAAAAACUUGAUAACCUUGAAUUGAUCCGGUAUGCAUUAGCCCCCAAGUGCCAAGUAUAUAACUUGUUAUGUGCUUGGGACUUAAAAUAUCAGUUGAGAAAAAGCAAUCCGCAUUGGCCCCCAAGUUCCAAGUAUAUUACUUUUUAUGUGCUUGAGACUUUCAAAAAGUAUAACCAACUUAUUAACUGUCUCUUGCAGGCUGACUUGACCAACAAAGAUUCUUAAAUCGCUGACCUCCAAGAAAACAUCAAGUCCGAGCAAGCCGAAACUUCAAAGGCCAAAGAGGAGCUGAAGGGCGCUUUAACAGCCAUGGAACAAUUGAAAGAUGGCUUCAAAGGUGAGCGAGCAGGUUUGGAGGCUGAAAAAGCAACGUUGCUAAAAUGGGUGGAGGAUGCUGAAGCGGCCCUUAAACCGGUAACAGAAGAGCUGACUGGCCUAAAGCAGCAAAUCAACGCUAUGACUUCUGUUGUCUUUGGUAAAUACCCUUUUUAUGACCUGUACUUAAUCAUCCUUGAAACCGCCGGUUUAACAAUAAUAUUGUAACCAUUGCAGGUAGCUGUGUUGCCCAUCUCGGUUCAGACAUGCGCAAAAAGAUGAAGGCUGCCUAUACCUUGAUAGAGCAGGUAUAUACCGGCGCGGGUCAUCUGCACAGCUUCGUACAAUAAACCGCCCCCAUCUUUAAUCAAGGAUACAUUGGCCAAGUUAUCCAUGAUGCCUACCCAGCUCGAGGAGGUAAAGAGAUCAGCUGCAAGGGCUGGCGCUUUGUCCGCAUUGACUCGGGCCAAGGCCUGGAUAGCUGAUCUUGAUCCGGAGGAUAUUGGAAAUGGCUAUCCCAGCCAAAAAGAAGAUGGGUCAGACUUUCACAAUGACGCCCUCAGGGUUUUAACAAAGGAAAUGUGUCCACUUGCAAGUAAGCUGGCUGAGGAGACUGAUUUGUCUUUGCACUAGUAGAUUUAUGAUGCAGACAAAAGACGGAUUGAUGCGUCGGUUUAUGAUGCACAAAAUCUUAUCCCGCCAAUCCGUAAGCAUACUUAUGCCCCUGAUGUUGAACCGUCCGAUCUUAUAAGCGACGAAGCUAUCUUCCGAGCUUUAUCUGGGAUUGACUGGGCAACCAUUGACUUCCAGCCACUGGGUGGGGAGGCGGAGGGUGAACCGGCGCAGGAUGAUCCGCAACCUUCACAUCAACCUGAGGAAGAAUCAUAAUUCGGAAGUCGGUUUAUCGUCUGCACACUGUCAUCCUUGUGAAAAACAAUUAUCCUUUUGGGCAGUCAAAAACGCCUUGUAAUAGGCUAGCUUAAACACUUGGUCUGUAUGCCAUCGUGCAUAGCCACUUUGCCUGAUACUGUUAAUCUGCCAUGAUAUGCAUUAUCUGCUUAUGAUCCUUAGCAGUUUUAUGCAAUCCUGUUUCUGCAUAGAAUAAACUGAAAAAUUGUCCUGGCGGCUUACCACCGGACGGGUCAUAAUGCCCAAUAUAAAGCCAGGGUUUAUAACCAAGGCUGUAAAACAAUGAAAUAUGAAAUACAUCAAACUUGUGAUAUUAAUCACAUCGUUGGUUUACCAACUUUCUUGUAGGAAGGGUGAUAACCCAAAUCUUGAGUGUUGUUAACUCCCACAAUGCUGUGCUGGUUUAUAAUAAGCCAUGACGGCUUAUGAUAAACACCGGAUGAUCAUCCUGGCGACUUAUAGUCAAUGCCAGGCCGGGUUAACAAACACCAGUUUAUAAUUGGUUGUGUACGAACUACUUAUAGUCGAAAGCCACCCCGGGUUAACAAACACCGGGUUAUAUUGAAAAUUUAUGGUCAGGCCGGGUCAAUAGACGCCGGUUUACCUCAAAACCUUAUCAAAGUAGAAAAAACUUUGUCAAAUAAAAGCAAAUGAAAACUUGUAGUCGAGGCUUUUCAGGGGCUGCCAGGCUCAAAUUCGAGGCUUUUCAUGGGCUGCUAGGCCACUGAGUUAAACCAUUUUACAAGGCCUUUUAAGAUGGGCCUCACAUUAACCAAUCGUCGUUUUAACAUUGACAAGUUCAGGGUCUGUAUAAGAUUAACUUGUCAAACAUUCGGCGGGUCAUACCAGGAUUACCUGGACGGAGUGGCUUACUUGAUGAAGGCAGGUUAACCCGGGCUUUUAGGUGAAUACACCUAGCUUCCAAGCCUGGCUUGAUAGCCUAUUGCCAGGGUCCUUUAAAACUCUUUGUUGCUGUGCAGAAAGAGCCCGGAGGUAACAUUUUGAGCUAUGCUCAGUGGGUGCCUAUGUUUGAGUUGUGCUUGGCAACAGACUCUCUUUGGCCCCUUGGGUGUGAAGCCCCCCAAGCUUUGUUGUGGCUUUAUAAGCCGGUUUAAUGGAUAAUCAGAACUUCACUUUAUAAGGAGAAGCCCCCAUGUAACCAAGAAAUCUUUUUGAAGAACGGCGGAGGCCCUGCUUUAGCAAGGAUGCUGGUUUAUUAUAUUGAUCAUAAUAUAUACAUUAUCAAAAUAUGUACAUGAUAGGAGCCAAUGGCUCAGGUAUAGUAAGGCCGAAGAUGAGUUAUAUUCCACGGCCGACGGCUCUCCUCCUCCGAUUUGCAUGAGUCUUUGUGCUCUCGAACAUCGAUAAGGUAGUAUGACCUGUUGUUCAGAUUCUUGCUAACCACAAAGUGCCCUUCCCAAGGUGGGGAUAACUUGUGCAUGUCAGUCUGAUCUUGGAUAAGCCGGAGCACUAAGUCGCCUUCUUGAAAAGCUCUGGUUUUAACCCGGCGGCUGUGAUGACGCCGCAGGUCUCGCUGAUAAAUCGGCGAACGAGCUGCUACAAUAUCCUGUUUUUCAUCUAACAGGUCCACUGCAUCUUGGCGUGCCCUUUCAUUGUCCGCUUCAACAUAAGCUGCCACUCGGGGCGAGUCAUGGCGAAUAUCACUUGGGAGAACUGCUUCCGCUCCAUAAACCAUGAAGAAGGGUGUGUAACCCAUAGAUCUAUUGGGGGUGGUGUUAAUGCUCCAUAAAACAAAAGGCAACUCUUCCACCCAACAACCCAGCGUCCUCUGCAAAGGGACCAUAAGCCGGGGCUUGAUACCCUUCAGGAUUUAUUGAUUAGCUCUCUCCGCUUGACCAUUAGACUGAGGGUGAGCCACUGAGGACACAUCAAGCCGGAUGUGCUCACGUUGACAGAACUCUUCCAUAGCACCCUUGGAGAGAUUCGUGCCAUUAUCUGUUAUAGUGCUGUGUGGAAAACCGAAGCGGAAAAUCACCUUUUUCAUGAAUUGAACCGCCAUGGCCGCAUCACACUUGCUUACUGGCUCUGCCUCCACCCACUUGGUGAAUUUAUCAACCGCCACUAGAAGGUGGGUCUUCUUAUCCUUGGACCUCUUAAAAGGCCCAACCAUAUCUAGCCCCCAAGUUGCAAAUGGCCAAGUUAUUGGAAUCAUCCUCAAUUCUUGGGCCGGAACAUGAGCUCAGCAUGAAAACUUCUGACAGCCAUCACACUUCCUGACCAGAUCCUCCGCAUCAGCAUGAGCUGUUAACCAGUUAAAACCAUGUCAGAAAGCCUUAGCCACCAAGGAUUUUGAACUGGCACGAUGACCACAAUCUCCUUCGUGGAUUUCACGCAAGAUCUCACAGCCUUCUUCAGGAGAAACGCAACGCUGAAACGCCCCUGAGACACUGCAAUGAUGUAACUCGCCAUUGACAAUAGUCAUAGACUUGGACCACCGGAUUAUCUGUCUGGCCAUAACUUCGUCCUCGGGUAACUCGCCCCAGGUCAUAUACGCUAGGUAUGGCACUGUCCAAUCAAGGAUAGCAUGAAGAACCGCCACCAACAGAGCCUCCGGGUCAGGAACAGCCAGAUCCUCCUCUGUUGGUAUUUUGACCAACGGAUUAUGCAUAACGUCAAGAAAAACAUUGGGCGGCACCGGUUUACGCUGGGAUCCGAGCCGUCUUAAAGUGUCCACCGCUUCAUUCUUGCGCCGAUCAAUGUGCUCGACCUGGUAACCCUUGAAGUGACCGGAAAUGAUAUCCACCUCGCACCGAUAAGCCGCCAUGAGUGGAUCCUUAGAAUCCCAAGUACCAGACACUUGCUGAGCCACUAAAUCGGAGUCGCCGAAGCAACGUACCCAGAUUAAGUUCUUCUCCUUAGCCAUCCGAAGACCGUGGAGUAAGGCCUCGUACUCAGCUGCAUUGUUAGUACAGGGAAACAUCAAACGGAGAACAUAACAAAAUUGGUCACCUCUAGGGGAAGUAAGAACCACUCCAGCCCCCCGAGCCCUCCAAUUGUCUGGAUCCAUAGAAGUGAAUAGUCCAGUACAUGUUAUCUGGUUUAUCCUCCGGCGCCUACAACUCUGUCCAGUCGUUGAUGAAAUCCACGAGCGCUUGGGACUUGAUAGCUGUGCGAGGCAUGUAUUUUACCCCGUGAUGUCCAAGAUCGAUAGCCUACUUAGCAACCCGACCAGUCGCCUCUCUGUUCUGAAUGAUAUCUCCCAAAGGAGCGGAACUGACCACAGUAAUGGGAUGGCCCUGAAAGUACUGCUUAAGCUUUCGGCUCGCCAUAAACACUCCAUACACCAACUUCUGCCAAUGUAGAUAUCUCUGCUUGGACUCGAUAAGUACCUCACUGAUAUAAUAAACCGGCCGUUGAACCGGAUACUCCUUACCAGCUUCCUUGCGGUCCACCACAAUAGCCACGCUAACAGCCCGGGCGUUAGCAGCCACAUAUAACAGCAAUGGUUCUUUAUCAAUGGGGGCAGCAAGAACAGGUGGUUCAGCUAACUGCUUUUUCAGAUCCUGAAAUGCCGCAUUAGCAGCAUCACUCCAGACAAAGUUGUCUGUCUUCUUCAUCAUCUGAUACAGAGGGAUGGACUUCUCUCCCAAUCGGCUGAUAAACCGACUUAGUGCUGCAAUACGACCCGCCAGUCAUUGAACAUCAUUGAUACACACUGGUUUAGCCAGGGACGUACUAGCCUUGAUCUUUUCCGGAUUAGUUUCAAUGCCCCUGUUAGAUACCAGAAAACCCAAGAGCUUGCCUGCUGGUACAUCAAAAACGCACUUGGCCAGAUUAAGCAUCAUCUUAUAAACCUGGAGGUUAUCAAAGGUCUCCUCCAAAUCACAUAUUAGCGUCUCCGCCUUCCUGGAUUUCACCAUGAUAUCAUCCACAGAAACAUGAACAUUGCGCCCAAUCUGAUUAUGAGGGCAAUUCUGCACACACCGCUGAUAAGUCGCCUGGGCACUCAUGAGCCUAAAAGGCAUAGAUACAUAGGAGAAGGCUCCAAAGGGAGUUAUAAAAGUCGUCUUCUCCUGGUCCUUAACUGCCAUUUUGAUCUGAUGAUAACCCGAAUAAGCAUCCAGAAAACUCAACCGCUCACAACCCGCCGUAGCAUCAAUGAUUUGAUCAAUAUGGGGGAGGGCAAAGGGAUCAGCUGGACAAGCCUUGUUUAAAUCUGUGUAAUCCACACACAUACACCAAGUGUCGUUCUUCUUGAGUACCAGCACUAGGUUAGCCAACCACUCAGGGUGAAAAACCUCCACAAUAAACCCUGCUGCCAAGAGCCGGGCUGCCUCCUCACCAAUGGCCUUGCGUCUCUCUUCAUUGAAGCGACGGAGAAACUGGUUGACCGGUUUAAACUUGGGAUCGAUAUUCAGAGUGUGCUCAGCGAGUUCCCUCGGUACACCUGGCAUGUCAGAAGGUUUCCAUGCAAAGAUGUCCCGGUUCUCACGGAUGAACUCGAUGAGCGCACUUUCCUAUUUCAGAUCCAAGUUAGCGCUGAUGCUAAACUGCUUGGAUGAAUCGCCAGGAACAAAAUCAACCAACUUAGUCUCAUUAGCCAAUUUAAACUUCAAAUUCGGAUCAUGCUCUGUAGUGGGUUUCUUCAAAGAAGUCAUAUUCGCUGGAUUAACAUUGUCUUUAUAGAAUUUUAACUCCUCUGUUGCACAAACCGACUCAGCAUAAGCAGCAUCACCUUCUUCACAUUCCAAAGCGACUUUUUGGCUUCCGUGCACUGUGAUGGUCCCCUUAUGACCCGGCAUCUUGAGCUGCAGAUAAACAUAACACGGCCUUGCCAUGAACUAAGCAUAAGUCGGCCGUCCAAAUAGGGCAUGGUACGGACUCCUGAUUUUCACCACUUCAAAAGUCAAUGUUUCUGACCUUGAAUCAUGAUCUUCUCCAAAAGGAACCUCCAGAGCUAUCUUACCGACCGGGUAGGCCGAUUUACCAAGCACCACAUCGUGAAAAACGGUGUUCGACGGUUUAAGAUUCUUAUCUGUCAACCCCAUACGCCGGAAGGUUUCAUAAUACAAGAUGUUCAUACUGCUCCCUCCAUCCAUGAGCACCUUGGUGAACUUAUAACCUCCAACCUGCGGUGGUACCACCAACGCCAGAUGACCCGGAUUAUCAAUCCGGGGCGGAUGAUCUUCUCGACUCCACAUAAUAGGCUGUUCAGACGAGCGCAAAUAACGGGGCAUCGCCGGUUCAACGGAAUUCACUGCCCUUUUAUGAAGCUUCUGAUCGCGCUUGCACGGGCUAGUAGUGAAGACAUGAUACUGUCCACUAUUCAACUGCUUCGGGUGACUCUGAUAACCUGACUGUUGAUGUUGCUGAUUCCCCUACUGAUUAUAACCACCUUGGUUGCCCUGAUUGCCUUGAUUACCCUGUCCACCUUGAUUACCUUGAAACCCCGAACCGGAGUUACCUCCACCAUAACUAGGCCCGUGAAACCCGGGUCCUGAACCGCCGAACGGUCCAUGAUCAUACCGGAAGAGAUCUGAGUUUUUGAACUCUCGCACAAUAAAGCAAUCCUUCCAGAGGUGCUUAGUUGGCUUCUCUGGCGUCCCGUGCUUUGGGCAAGGCCGAUUUAACAUGCGCUCCAGAUUCAUACCUGAUCCUCCACUCCGCGGUGGCGGUUUACCCUUACGACGCUGACCAUUACCUUGUACGUUGGUGUUAGCCACAAAAUCCAAACUAUUGUCUGCUUUACGCUUACCAUUGUUCCCAUGGCCUGCCUGGUUGUGUUGUUGUCCUUUUGUACCACCGUUCUUCUUUCCCUUCCCCGGCUUCUCAUCGUCAGACUCGGGAUCCUUGGUACUAUCAGAAUCGGCAUACUCGGGAUCCCAUGUCAUUGCAGUGACGCUUGAGCUGUCCCAACUUCAACUUCAGCGGUUUAAAUCGGCAAUUGCCCUCUAAUGUUAUGACUGCCAAGUCAGCAUUGAUGAAGUCCGACGAAUGUAGGAUUUCCGAAACCCGGCGCACCCAAUGAGUUGUUGAUUCACCUUCUUCUUGGAUACAAGCGGCUAGAUCCACAAUUGACAUGGGUUGCUUG